rnacentral:rRNA from 1 species
UACCUGGUUGGUCGUGCCAGUAGUCAUAUGCUUGUCUCAAAGAUUAAGCUAUGCAUGUGUAAGUAUGACCAAAUUCAGAAUGUGAAACUGCGAAUGGCUCAUUAAAUACGUUAUAGAUUGUUUGCUGGUAUCUACUACUCGGAUAACCGUAGUAAUUCUAGAGCUAAUACGUGCAACAAACCUGACUUCUGGAAGGGUUGCAUUUAUUAGAUAAAAGGUCGACGCGGGCUCUGCCUGUUGCUGCGAUGAUUCAUGAUAAAUCGACGGAUCGUACGGCCAUUGUGGCGGCGACGCAUCAUUCAAAUUUCUGCCCUUUCAACUUUCGAUGGUAGGAUAAUGGCCUACUAUUAGACCCUAACUCUCUUUCAUCGGGCGUGGCACGCCUAUGGCAAGAAUUUGGGUGUGAUUGCCUUGUCAUUGGCCUAUGUGCGUGCGAAACGAUCAUGCGGACGAUGGACAAGAUAUUGUCAUUGAGGGCUGUUGUGGGCAAGUAUUGGCCAAGGCCUUGGGACAGGCAAGGCGCGCUUUUCAAAGGCUUGACAAAGCAGCGUGGGCAAUGUUAGGGCGGCAUGGCACGACAUGCACGCCAAAGUCAGUGGAACGACACUUUGGGUUGUGGCAGCUAAGUGCGGGCUAAGCUAAGGCAAGGCGAAAAUGCGGGAUGAUGGCAAAGGCUUUCAAUAGCUAAGGCAAGGCUUGUGAAGGAAAAUACAAGCAAUGGCACGAGGGAAAUGAAGGUUGACAUGGACAAGGCAGAAACUAAGCCAAGGCAGUGCGCGGGCGGCAGCGACGUCGGGCGUGUGUGGCCAAAUCAUGGCAGCAGGUUGCGGGCAAGUCAUUGGCGCAGAGCAAUGUCAAAUUGAGCUAAGGCUUGGCACAAAGCAAGCCUUAGGCGUGAUUCAGCUGGCCAAGUGAAGAUGGCACAUGCAAUGCACAUGAAAAGCAGUUUUGGUGGUUACCUUGUCAGUAACCUCUUUGUCCCAUGACUGNCGCGACGUCGCGAGAAGUCCAUUGAACCUUAUCAUUUAGAGGAAGGAGAAGUCGUAACAAGGUUUCCGUAGGUGAACCUGCGGAAGGAUCAUUG